UGGGGAAUAUUGCACAAUGGGGGAAACCCUGAUGCAGCGAUGCCGCGUGAGGGAAGAAGGUUUUCGGAUUGUAAACCUCUGUUAUCAGGGACGAUAAUGACGGUACCUGAAAAGAAAGCUCCGGCUAACUACGUGCCAGCAGCCGCGGUAAUACGUAGGGAGCAAGCGUUGUCCGGAAUUACUGGGUGUAAAGGGAGCGUAGGCGGGACAUCAAGUCAGGUGUGAAAACUAUGGGCUCAACCCAUAGACUGCACUUGAAACUGAAGUUCUUGAGUGAAGUAGAGGCAGGCGGAAUUCCUAGUGUAGCGGUGAAAUGCGUAGAUAUUAGGAGGAACAUCAGUGGCGAAGGCGGCCUGCUGGGCUUUUACUGACGCUGAGGCUCGAAAGCGUGGGGAGCAAACAGG
rnacentral:rRNA from 1 species